AUACUUACCUGGCAGGGGAGAUACCAUGAUCACGAAGGUGGUUUUCCCAGGGAAAGGCUUAUCCAUUGCACUCCGGAUGUGCUGAUCCCUGCCAUUUACCCAAAUGUGGGAAACUCAACUGCAUAAUUUGUGGUAGUGGGGGACUGUGUUUACGCUUUCACCUU
ensembl:snRNA U1 U1 spliceosomal RNA